AAGGGGUAAAAAGAGCUAAGCGCCCAAGAACAAAACAAAGCCAGGAAGGACAUGAUAUUGGACCAAAAGAGUUCAGAACACGACAGAGGCGUCCUCGCUAAUCCACACAGCCGCCCUCCAAGGUCAUGGCUUCAGGGAGGUCCAGCCACUCGGCAACUGAGAAUAUCUUUGCCUGCCAGGGCUGUGUGUGCUCUGAUGAAACCACGGUGUUCGCAGUAAUGUCGGGGAUGAGAAGGGCAAGUCUCAACGAGGCACGAUGUCCAGGGCUCCUGCUGGUAUUCACCACGCAGUGAUCAGCCGGACCUGGCCCGCAUCUCUGUCUCCAGGAGGGACAUUGUGACCUGACCCAUAUGGACAGCUUCAAGAACAAAGGAUUCUGACACCAAG